rnacentral:lncRNA from 1 species
GUCUGAACGUGGGAAGGAGUAUAACGCGUGUACUAACAACUAUAAAACCUUAAAGAGUAUGAGACAUUUGUUAGGUGUGUGGCCAUUAAAGACCUUAUGAGUGUUUGUACAUGAACUUAUUCAUAUAGUAGAACAUGUACUCAGUGGGAGUGUGGUCUUGGGUAAACCAUACUAAGCAAAUGAUGUUUGCUGAUACCAGAGUGUGUUUUAUGAGCUAGGUCAGUUUGGUCUUAUCGGUUAAAUGUGUUAUCCCCUGAUGAGGUCAGAGUAUGUCUAGAUGAGUGAACCGAUGGACUGCAUGACCUAUGUGUGUGGUGGAAGCUUCUAGAGAUGGGGUCAAAGCCUCAUCCGCAUACCAUCACAUGACAUGCACUUUGAUAGCUGUUUUCGAGAAAGAAAACCACCUUUCAAGGUGAAGUGUGUACAUGUAUGGGAGAUAACCCAUAUACACCAUCAAGCAAUGGAUUGCAUCUGGUCUAAGUGACCUCGGUUCAUCUCUAAAGGAGAACCUGAAAUCCAUAGACUGAGACUAAGACCCCUUGCCCAUUUGUCAGACUUUGAUGACCCACUAAUGAUUCAUUGCAUGGACUGUAGGUCAUGGGCAAUGCUGUGUCGG